UACGAGAGGCCCAAACGUUAUUCGGAUUUACUGGGCUUAAAGAGUUCGUAGGCGGUCCGUCAAGUGGGGUGUGAAAUCCCUCGGCUCAACCGAGGAAUUGCGCUCCAAACUGUCGGACUCGAGGGAGAUAGAGGUGAGCAGAACUGAUGGUGGAGCGGUGAAAUGCGUUGAUAUCAUCAGGAAUACCAGAGGCGAAGGCGGCUCACUGGGUCUCUUCUGACGCUGAGGAACGAAAGCUAGGGGAGCAAAC
rnacentral:rRNA from 1 species